rnacentral:rRNA from 1 species
CCUACGGGAGGCAGCAGCAAGGAAUAUUGUGCAAUGGGCGAAAGCCUGACACAGCGACGCCGCGUGGGGGAAGAAGGCCUUCGGGUUGUAAACCCCUUUUCUCAGGGAAGAUAAUGACGGUACCUGAGGAAUAAGUCACGGCUAACUACGUGCCAGCAGGCGCGGUAAU